rnacentral:rRNA from 1 species
GGGAAAAGCUCAAAUUUUGAAUCUGGCAGUCCCUUCUGGCUGUCCGAGUUGUAAUCUAGAGAAGCGUCUUCCGCGCUGGACCGUGUACAAGUCUCCUGGAAAGGAGCAUCCUAGAGGGUGAAAAUCCCGUCUUUGACACGGACCCCCAGGGCUAUGUGAUGCGCUCUCCACGAGUCGAGUUGUUUGGGAAUGCAGCUCAAAUAGGGUGGUAAACUCCAUCUAAAGCUAAAUACAUGCGAGAGACCGAUAGCGAACAAGUACCGUGAGGGAAAGAUGAAAAGAACUUUGAAAAGAGAGUUAAACCGUAUGUGAAAUUGCUGAAAGGGAAACGCUCGAUGUCCAGUCGCGUCGCACCGGGGGUCAACCAAGUGAGCUUCACUCGGCGUAAUUCCUGGUCGACGGGUCAGCAUCAGUUUCGAUCGCCCGUACAAUGUCGAGGGGAACGUGCCACUCCUCGGAGUGUGUUUAUAGCCCUUYGCCGUAUGCGGUGGGAGAGACUGAGGAACUCUGCUUCGUGCAUAGGAUG